GACGAACGCUGGCGGCGUGCUUAACACAUGCAAGUCGAGCGGUAAGGCCCUUUCGGGGGUACACGAGCGGCGAACGGGUGAGUAACACGUGGGUGACCUGCCCUCAGCUCUGGGAUAAGCCUGGGAAACCGGGUCUAAUACUGGAUAUGACUCCAUGACGCAUGUUGUGGGGUGGAAAGCCUUGUGCGGCUGAGGAUGGGCCCGCGGCCUAUCAGCUUGUUGGUGGGGUGAGGCCUACCAAGGCGACGACGGGUAGCCGGCCUGAGAGGGCGACCGGCCACACUGGGACUGAGACACGGCCCAGACUCCUACGGGAGGCAGCAGUGGGGAAUCUUGCGCAAUGGGCGAAAGCCUGACGCAGCGACGCCGCGUGAGGGAUGACGGCCUCGGUUGUAACGUAC
rnacentral:rRNA from 1 species